rnacentral:misc_RNA from 1 species
GUGGAGAGUUUUGGUGAAAUUUUGGGUUUCUUUCUGGUUGAAGUGAAAUUUUAGCUUUCUUUGUGGUUGGUAGCUUUAUUUGCUGUUUGUAAUCGUUAACUACCGUUCUAUGUAUCUCAAGUGCUACCUUUGAUUCUAAAUUUCUAAAUUUCUAUGUAAGAGAUUUGUUUUGUGUAAAUUGUUUGAAUAAAAGUUCAUUGUGUUUACUUAGAUUCAUGAAUAAAUAUUUCAUGUACGGAUG